rnacentral:rRNA from 1 species
AGAGUUUGAUCCUGGCUCAGGGUGAACGCUGGCGGCGCGCUUAAUGCAUGCAAGUCGAGCGUGAUCGUGGCUUCGGCCACAAUGAUAAAGCGGCAGACGGCUGAGUAACGCGUGAGUAAUCUGCCCUCCGGUGGGGUAUAACCUCGGGAAACUGAGGAUAAUCCCGCAUACGACCUGCAUCCCUUGGGGUGCAGAUGAAAGGCUUCGGUCGCCGGAGGAGGAGCUCGCGUCCUAUCAGGUUGUUGGUGGGGUAAUGGCCUACCAAGCCGAUGACGGGUAGCUGGUCUGAGAGGAUGACCAGCCAGAGGGGGACUGAGAACGGCCCCCACUCCUACGGGAGGCAGCAGCAGGGAAUCUUGGGCAAUGGGCGAAAGCCUGACCCAGCGACGUCGCGUGGGGGACGAAGGCCUUCGGGUUGUAAACCCCUUUUCCGGGGGAAGAGAAAGGACGGUACCUCGGGAAUAAGCCCCGGCUAACUACGUGCCAGCAGCCGCGGUAAUACGUAGGGGGCAAGCGUUACCCGGAAUCACUGGGCGUAAAGUGCGCGUAGGCGGUUGGAUAAGUCUCUUGUGAAAGCUCCCGGCUCAACUGGGAGAGGUCAAGGGAUACUAUUUGACUAGAGGACAGCAGAGGUAAGCAGAAUUCCCGGUGUAGCGGUGGAAUGCGUAGAUAUCGGGAGGAACACCAGUGGCGAAAGCGGCUUACUGGGCUGUAUCUGACGCUGAGGCGCGAGAGCGUGGGGAGCAAACUGGAUUAGAUACCCAGGUAGUCCACGCCCUAAACGAUGGAUACUAGGUAUGGGGGGUAUUGACCCCCUCCGUGCCGUAGCUAACGCGUUAAGUAUCCCGCCUGGGGACUACGGCCGCAAGGCUAAAACUCAAAGGAAUUGACGGGGGCCCGCACAAGCGGUGGAGCGUGUGGUUUAAUUCGAUGCUAAGCGAAGAACCUUACCUGGGCUUGACAUGUUGGUAGUAGCGCGCCGAAAGGCGUCGCGAUCCCGGGGUAACUCGGGAAGCCUUCACAGGUGCUGCAUGGCUGUCGUCAGCUCGUG